GUAUUUGGACAGCAGCUAUAUAAACACAGAUGUCACCACAGCAUAGACACAGAGAGCUUCUCCAGAUUCACUUGACAACACCAAACCUUUGAAGAGGAAACAUGAGGGCUGCCGUUGUGCUGUACAUGGCUCUGCUGAUGCUUGCAUAUUUGUGCACUGCGUAUGCUGCUUGCCAUAACGGUAGAUGUGCCAAAAGGUGUGGUCGUGGGGAACAUGUAGACCGCAACUCACACUGUGGUGGAGGAAACAAAUGCUGCGUUGAGGACGGCUGGUGAUGGAAGCUGGAAGCAGGACUGGUGGUGGAAGCAUCAUCUUUUUUUCAAUCAAAUGCUUGGAACAAAACAAUGUGCUAUCUGUGUCUGAAUAAACAAUCAACAAUA